AGAGUUUGAUCCUGGCUCAGGACGAACGCUGGCGGCGUGCCUAAUACAUGCAAGUCGAACGCUUCUUUUUCCACCGGAGCUUGCUCCACCGGAAAAAGAGGAGUGGCGAACGGGUGAGUAACACGUGGGUAACCUGCCCAUCAGAAGGGGAUAACACUUGGAAACAGGUGCUAAUACCGUAUAACAAUCGAAACCGCAUGGUUUUGAUUUGAAAGGCGCUUUCGGGUGUCGCUGAUGGAUGGACCCGCGGUGCAUUAGCUAGUUGGUGAGGUAACGGCUCACCAAGGCCACGAUGCAUAGCCGACCUGAGAGGGUGAUCGGCCACAUUGGGACUGAGACACGGCCCAAACUCCUACGGGAGGCAGCAGUAGGGAAUCUUCGGCAAUGGACGAAAGUCUGACCGAGCAACGCCGCGUGAGUGAAGAAGGUUUUCGGAUCGUAAAACUCUGUUGUUAGAGAAGAACAAGGAUGAGAGUAACUGUUCAUCCCUUGACGGUAUCUAACCAGAAAGCCACGGCUAACUACGUGCCAGCAGCCGCGGUAAUACGUAGGUGGCAAGCGUUGUCCGGAUUUAUUGGGCGUAAAGCGAGCGCAGGCGGUUUCUUAAGUCUGAUGUGAAAGCCCCCGGCUCAACCGGGGAGGGUCAUUGGAAACUGGGAGACUUGAGUGCAGAAGAGGAGAGUGGAAUUCCAUGUGUAGCGGUGAAAUGCGUAGAUAUAUGGAGGAACACCAGUGGCGAAGGCGGCUCUCUGGUCUGUAACUGACGCUGAGGCUCGAAAGCGUGGGGAGCAAACAGGAUUAGAUACCCUGGUAGUCCACGCCGUAAACGAUGAGUGCUAAGUGUUGGAGGGUUUCCGCCCUUCAGUGCUGCAGCUAACGCAUUAAGCACUCCGCCUGGGGAGUACGACCGCAAGGUUGAAACUCAAAGGAAUUGACGGGGGCCCGCACAAGCGGUGGAGCAUGUGGUUUAAUUCGAAGCAACGCGAAGAACCUUACCAGGUCUUGACAUCCUUUGACCACUCUAGAGAUAGAGCUUCCCCUUCGGGGGCAAAGUGACAGGUGGUGCAUGGUUGUCGUCAGCUCGUGUCGUGAGAUGUUGGGUUAAGUCCCGCAACGAGCGCAACCCUUAUUGUUAGUUGCCAUCAUUCAGUUGGGCACUCUAGCAAGACUGCCGGUGACAAACCGGAGGAAGGUGGGGAUGACGUCAAAUCAUCAUGCCCCUUAUGACCUGGGCUACACACGUGCUACAAUGGGAAGUACAACGAGUCGCGAAGUCGCGAGGCUAAGCUAAUCUCUUAAAGCUUCUCUCAGUUCGGAUUGCAGGCUGCAACUCGCCUGCAUGAAGCCGGAAUCGCUAGUAAUCGCGGAUCAGCACGCCGCGGUGAAUACGUUCCCGGGCCUUGUACACACCGCCCGUCACACCACGAGAGUUUGUAACACCCGAAGUCGGUGAGGUAACCUUUUGGAGCCAGCCGCCUAAGGUGGGAUAGAUGAUUGGGGUGAAGUCGUAACAAGGUAGCCGUAUCGGAAGGGGCGGCUGGAUCACCU
rnacentral:rRNA from 1 species